rnacentral:rRNA from 1 species
CAGUCGCCGCGGGAAUACGUAGGGUGCAAGCGUUAAUCGGAAUUACUGGGCGUAAAGCGUGCGCAGGCGGUUUGUUAAGACAGAUGUGAAAUCCCCGGGCUCAACCUGGGAACUGCAUUUGUGACUGGCAAGCUAGAGUGUGGCAGAGGGGGGUGGAAUUCCGCGCGUAGCAGUGAAAUGCGUAGAUAUGUGGAGGAACACCGAUGGCGAAGGCAGCCCCCUGGGCCAACACUGACGCUCAUGCACGAAAGCGUGGGGAGCAAACAGGAUUAGAUACCCCGGUAGUCCCUGUCUCUUAUAC